rnacentral:misc_RNA from 1 species
GAUUUUCUGAUCUCGCUCGAUGAUCGCUUUUUGUACUUUGUGAACUGGCUACAUGGAGAUGUGAGACAAUAUGACAUUGAGGACCCUAAAAGUCCUAAGUUAGUGGGUCAAGUUUGGGUUGGUGGACUUAUCCAAAAGGGCAGUCCUGUGGUAGCUGAGGCAGAAGAUGGUACAACAUUCCAGUUUGAUGUCCCUGAAAUCAAGGGACAACGUUUGAGAGGGGGACCUCAAAUGAUACAGUUAAGUUUGGAUGGGAAACGUCUUUAUGUGACCAAUUCCCUCUUCAGUACAUGGGAUCGUCAGUUUUAUCCUGAGUUGGUUGAGAAAGGUUCUCAUAUGUUGCAGAUUGAUGUUGAUACACAGAAAGGUGGGCUCACUGUUAACCCGAAUUUCUUUGUGGACUUUGCGACUGAG